GACGAACGCUGGCGGCGUGCUUAACACAUGCAAGUCGAGCGGUAAGGCCCUUUCGGGGGUACGACGAGCGGCGAACGGGUGAGUAACACGUGGGUGACCUGCCCUUAGCUCUGGGAUAAGCCUGGGAAACUGGGUCUAAUACCGGAUAUGACUCCAUGACGCAUGUUGUGGGGUGGAAAGCCUUGUGCGGCUAGGGAUGGGCCCGCGGCCUAUCAGCUUGUUGGUGGGGUGAUGGCCUACCAAGGCGACGACGGGUAGCCGGCCUGAGAGGGCGACCGG
rnacentral:rRNA from 1 species